rnacentral:rRNA from 1 species
UACAGGGUGACAGCCCCGUACACAAAAAUGCACAUACUGUGAGCUCGAUGAGUAGGGCGGGACACGUGGUAUCCUGUCUGAAUAUGGGGGGACCAUCCUCCAAGGCUAAAUACUCCUGACUGACCGAUAGUGAACCAGUACCGUGAGGGAAAGGCGAAAAGAACCCCGGCGAGGGGAGUGAAAAAGAACCUGAAACCGUGUACGUACAAGCAGUGGGAGCACAGAGCAAUCUGUGUGACUGCGUACCUUUUGUAUAAUGGGUCAGCGACUUAUAUUCUGUAGCAAGGUUAACCGAAUAGGGGAGCCGAAGGGAAACCGAGUCUUAACUGGGCGUUAAGUUGCAGGGUAUAGACCCGAAACCCGGUGAUCUAGCCAUGGGCAGGUUGAAGGUUGGGUAACACUAACUGGAGGACCGAACCGACUAAUGUUGAAAAAUUAGCGGAUGACUUGUGGCUGGGGGUGAAAGGCCAAUCAAACCGGGAGAUAGCUGGUUCUCCCCGAAAGCUAUUUAGGUAGCGCCUCGUGAAUUCAUCUCCGGGGGUAGAGCACUGUUUCGGCAAGGGGGUCAUCCCGACUUACCAACCCGAUGCAAACUGCGAAUACCGGAGAAUGUUAUCACGGGAGACACACGGCGGGUGCUAACGUCCGUCGUGAAGAGGGAAACAACCCAGACCGCCAGCUAAGGUCCCAAAGUCAUGGUUAAGUGGGAAACGAUGUGGGAAGGCCCAGACAGCCAGGAUGUUGGCUUAGAAGCAGCCAUCAUUUAAAGAAAGCGUAAUAGCUCACUGGUCGAGUCGGCCUGCGCGGAAGAUGUAACGGGGCUAAACCAUG